UAGAAUUCCUUGGUCGAAGGUUAGUCAACGAGCUCGGCAUUCAACCUUGGCCGAGACCGUGGGAACGAAGAGAAAUUCUAAAAAACCAUUUAAGAACGGUGAAGGUACCGGCGAAUGUGCCAGUAGAUGAAUGGCACGACGUUGAAGUUAAACCAUCGGCCAGAUGGCAUGGGUCGAUGUUAACAAAAACUCAGAAACGUCGGCAGCAGAGGAUGUAAGCCGAAGCGAGACAACAUUAUGAGGAGGCGAAAGGGAUAAGGCUCAAUGUUUGGAGGCGCCCUGAUGAGCAGUCCCGCCCUUUUCGUCUAAUGAGAAAUGAUCACGAGGCAGGCGGCUCAUCAUCCGCCCCGCAGUUGAAGUCAAGAAUAGAACGGCCAAUCGAGGCCGAGUCAUAAGAUAAGAUGAUCAGGAGGGAGUUAGAAGAAAAAAUAGCUUUCCUCGAAACUAUGAUCAAAAGAGAGAGAUGGCCUCCGAAAAAAAAGGAUGUCCGGAUGGAAAGUGAUUCUUCUGCUGAAACAACAAAGGAGUCGGAGAAGAAGAAACAAAGAACCAAAGGAAAAUCAGCCGAAGAAUCGCCGGCUGAAGUGAAUAUGGUAUAUGCUCUGCCUCAAUCCUUUAAGGCAGAGUUUAUUGAGUAUGAAGAAUUUAGAGAGGAGGAGGAAGAUGGGCUUAGAGUAGCCCAAUUGUAAUUAGAAGAUGUUCGACCGGCCGACGCAGUGAUUUUUG
rnacentral:lncRNA from 1 species